rnacentral:rRNA from 1 species
UACGUAGGGGGCAAGCGUUGUCCGGAUUUAUUGGGCGUAAAGAGCGUGUAGGCGGCCUGAAAGGUCAGCUGUGAAAACUCGAGGCUCAACCUCGAGACGUCGGUUGAAACCAUCUGGCUAGAGUCCGGAAGAGGAGUGUGGAAUUUCCGGUGGAGUGGUGAAAUGCGUAGAGAUCGGAAAGAACACCAACGGCGAAAGCACUCUGCUGGGCCGACACUGACACUGAGAGACGAAAGCUAGGGGAGCGAAUGGG